UCUCUCACGAUAAAAAAUAUUUAAUCUUAAUGAAGUGAGAUAUUAACAGUCCUUUCAUGCAUAGUGGUCACUACAGUGGACAGCUAUUCAAAAGCCAUUUUCCUAUAUAUGCAUGGGUUUUCAUGGUAUAGUUACACAUCAGCCACCAAAAUGGACGCUAGUGCAAUAUUCCAUACACUGCCAUCCACUGGCCAGCCUUUGUAAGUGCAACACAAAUUUCCAAAACCAAGAUGGCUGAUAGACGGCCGGAAACACUCAGCAGCUCAGGAAUAUCUUGCCAAUCCUUCUGUGGUAGGAGACCCUUGAAGGAUUAUGACAAUGCCUGAAUACUGCAGCAGUGUGGAGAGGCCUGAUUAGGGGGAUCCUUCCCUGGACUACAUUUUAAAAUGUUUUUAAAGACUUGAACAACUGAUUCCAUAUGUACACACUCAAGGGGAAAAUUGUGUAUACCUACUGCGUUAAAGAGCUGCAUAAACUUCAGCUGAACAGCAGGGCUAACACAGUGUGGAGGAAAAGCUGGCUGUGGAGGAACCAGCAUGGAGGUUCCUCUACAAACCUCCACUAAACAAAAGAACAGGGGAUCUUCAGUGGAGGAUCAUACAUGGGGCCAUUGCUGUGAAUUCUUUCACUGUAAAGAUCAAUCCAAGUUAUUCAACAAUGGUGCUCUGUGGUGGAUGACAAUCUUAUUUUCAGCCCUGUUUAAAUGAGAGAUGUCUUAUCUAAAGGACAUUUUUUAAAACAUGCCUCUUAUUGUUAUUGUCUGAUUACUCAAGGGUGUUUUCAUUAUGUUUUUUAUUUGUGAGGCUGUUCUUAUUGUGGCUCCUUAAAUCCCCAAAAUACAGUCUGUCUAAAAUCUG